AGACAAGUCAAUUGACAAAUGGCAUAGGAAAACACAAGUUACAACAGGUGCUGCAGCUAUUAAAGGCAAAUUGCAGGCCUUCAAUCAGAAUAUUAGCGACCAAGUAGCUGCAUAUAUGAGAGAUCCAAGUAGGAUGCUUAAUCAAAUGCAGCUAAGGAGAUCAACUGUACACGUAUUUGGAAUGGUUAUUGACGAAAGCAAGAGCAAGGGGCAGGAAGCACAAGCUGAAGGAGGUGAUCCUGAACUUCUGGACGACUCUGAAUUCUAUCAGCAAUUAUUGAAGGAGUUCUUUGAGACGAUUGAUCCAAAUUCAUCAGAGACAGCGUUUUAUGCAUUGAAAAAGUUGCAAACAAAGAAGAGAAAGAUAGUUGAUCGGCG
rnacentral:misc_RNA from 1 species